rnacentral:lncRNA from 1 species
AAUCAUUAAGGUUGGAAAUACCACUAAGAUCAUCUAGUCUGACCAUCAGCCUGCGCCUGUGACCACUCUAGACCGUGUCCACGCCCUUCUGUGCAUCACCUACCCGUUUCUUGAAUAGCUCCACCACAUCCCUGGGCAGCCUGUUCCAAUACCUCACCACUCUUUCUGAGAAUAAUUUUUUCCUAAUAUCCAACCUAAGGAAGAGAGUGAUGCUGGUGUAAUAUCCUAUGCUCGUCUGGGAUGUGGAGCCUGAAGAGAAUGGUGCUGACGGGGUCAGGCAGAAGUGAAGAACGGCAGCAGUGGCAAAUGCAAAGACCCCUCACUCUUAACACCUCUUUCUCAUGCUUAAGACUUGAAAAGCAUCCCUGCUGCUGUUCCAGGAUCUGUAAGUCAAGGUGAUGAGGAGGAGAGGGGUGUGAUGAAGGAACGUAGUGUUUGUGGAGGUCCUGGCCAAGGUACGGUGCUCCAGCAAUGGGAUGCAGCAGUGUGCUUAAUGAGUAAUUCCCACAUUGAUGUUGUUCCAGACCAUCUGAUCCCAGCCUCUGGAAGUCCUUCCUGCUGGAAAGCAGCAGUCCCUGUAUGAACUACGAGCACGGUUGAGUCGGAAGUCGCCUUCAUAACAGCUUUGAUGUUUCAACGCUUUUUACAGGAGAUGAGAUUUGAUAACCUGCUUCCUGACCUGUGGAUAGAGAGCAGAAUGAAACCCAAAUUCUUGAGAGAGUAACCAAACACCUCUGGGAAGAGCCACAGAACAGUCGGGCUGAUUUGUAGGGCCGUGGGUUUGCCAGGAAACCUCCCUGAGCUAUUACUUUAAAUUGCCACUAAGUGGCAGCCAAGUAAAAAUUAUGGUAAAAUGAAACUUUCCCAAAUAAAUAUUUCAUCUAACGUCAGCGCAAGGUGCAGCAGCAUCAACAGAAUUCCUGAGCCCUGUGGUGCCCGGGAAGCUACACCAAGGGAGGAGAUGGCAAUAAGAGGGAUCUGUGGGAAUCCAUGUGGGUUUUCCUUGGGAGGAGCACAGUGUGCAGCAUGGUGUGCUUCCUGACUUGUUACAGAACCACAGAAUCAUUCAGGCUGGAAAAGACCUCUAAGACCCCCAAGUCCAGCCCCAGCCCACCCCACCAUGCCCAUAAUCACAUCCUUCAGUGCCACAUCCCCACUGUUCUGGAGCAUCUCCACGGACGGUGACCCCACCACUCCCUGGGCAGCUGUGCCCGUGCAGCACUGCUCCUUCAGUGAAGAAAUGUUUCCUAACUUAUCUCUUUUUAAAAAUCAGUCUAAAUAGGUUCAGGACAUCGAUUAAUUGCCAUAAGCACGUGCGUGCUUGGCAUAAAGGCAG